CUUAGUAACAAUGCCUAAACUAGGUUUUUUGUACAAAGGAUUGAAAAAUAUGGCGAGGUUACUGGGAUGAAAAGAAAUAGAGAAAAGACGA